ensembl:lncRNA
CAUUAUCCAACAAACACUAUAAAAAUGUUUGAACAAUUGGAUUUCAAACAUAUUCGUUUUGUGGAGUGGUGCUCACCAAGUGGUACAGCCCUAAGCAAGUGAACACAAACACAUUUAAGUGUAUUUUGUCUGAUUCGAUGUUAGCCAGUUAUGCUAUUUCAUUCAAAUGUCUGAAAAAAUCAAUUGACUAUUCCCUUUUCCUAAAGGGCAGAGACAGAUAAUCUCACUUCCAGAGAAAUGACUGUUUUGGAGAAAAAAAGUGUUGGUCUUUUUGCUCUUUUGUAAUUAAAUCUGGAUGUACCUCAAAAGACUCUUAAGACUGUGGUGAUAAGAUGCUUUCCUCAGCAGAAAGGAGGGAAAAAAAACAACUGGAACUCAAAGCUUGAAAUUCUGUGGCAAAACGAGAUGUCCAGGAUUGGAGGUUGAAAAGAUUUCACUACAGUGUUCUGCAAUAGUUGGAGCAGAUAACUUUCAGUGUAGCCACAGCCAUGGACUCCAGAUUUCCAGAUUUUCAAGAACUGGACCUGGAACCCGAAAGAGCUUGUCAGGAUGCGGCAAGAACACUGGAGGUAGAUUUUUUUUUUAUUUUUGAAUUUUGGGACUGUUGACCUUGCUGUGAGAAAAGAGACAACGACUGAGCAAGCACUACCACCAGCAUUGUUACUGGGAAUUAGAAGACCUGAGUUUCUGUCCAGACCCUCAGUGCAAACUGAGGACGCUCCAUCCAAAGUGAAUCAUGUCCUGUGCCUCCUGAUUGCUGAGUGUUCACCUGGACCUUCUGACUACCUUCCCUGUGCUAUUCCAUCAGCCUACAGACCUGGUACCUGGAUUUUUGCCCGAGAUGAUUCCUACCACCUUACUACUGAAGAAGACACCCAUUCCAGUGGACCACUGUGACCCAGGAGGCAUUCAGCCAUCAUGAUGUGGCCUUUACCUCCACUCCUGUCCUGUUCUACCCAGAUUCAGCACAGCCCUUUAUAGUGAAGUCAGAGUCCUCAAGCCAAAUAGCUAAAGCUGUUUUAUCACAACAAAGGCCUAGUUUGUUCCAUGAGUGUGCAUUUCAUUUCUUCAGUUAAAGCCUUCAGAGACACACAAUAAAUUUGGACCAGGGGAUUUUUUAGUUAUUAAUGCUCUCUGAAGAAAGGCAACAUCUUUUUGAGAGCAGCAUUGGACCACACCCCACAAUCUCAAAUGGUUGAAAUUCGUGAACAUCUAGGAUCCCGUGAAGGUCACUGGACCCUGUUUUUUCUACUUCAAAUCCUGUAGUAGCCUACUGAAUGAGAAAACAUAUUCUGACCCAUUGGAAUCAAAUCAGAGGCACAGUGAACUCCUCAUAGCAUCUUCUUUGGAAUUACUCAGGAACCAGAACUUUUUACACAAAUGUAAGAAAUUCUACCAAGGAGUCCCCUUACCUAACAGCAUCUCACAAGGCUGCAUCAGAUUCCAGAAAAGGCUUCUCUUGAUACAUCAAGCAUUUUGUGACCGACUUAUUCUUAGAUCAUUGGUUUUCCAAAGGCUUUGUGGCCAUGAAGCCCUUUGAGUGAAAACUGCAGAAGCCCAGAGUAAAAGUGAAGCUGCUCUGGAUGAAGUAGUGAAGCAAGAGUAGGGGCCUGAAGCCUGCUACGACUAUCUUCCUUUACCACCGUGGUGACACCUAAGGGGACUUCCUUACAACACCUUGAACUCUUCCAAACACAGUUUGAAAACCACUGCCCCAGACAGCAAUAUGUUUGACCUGAAUGGCAUUCCAAUCUUUUCUGUACCUCCACUCAGCACAGUUCGUGUUCAGUAGAUGCUGAACAUUCUUAGAAAUACUGUGCGCGAACUUAGAAAAGUGCAAGAAGACAGGCAUGUCUUUGACCCCAGGAAUGAUCAUGGGCUGAAGAUGGUGUCAAGUGAACCUAGAUUAACAGCCCUCCACUCCAGAUGGAUAUCCAGUGAUUCCUAGAAUGGGAUAUAGCCAGAGAACAAUUCUAUGCACCCUACACUGACAGACUCCCUUAAGCAACACCAGAUGCUCUACUGGUACUUGAAGUACAUGACUUUGAAGUCUUGACCCUCCAUGAAUACCUGAAUUACCAGCAAGUGGGUUUUGAAGCUGGUGCCUCAUCAAGGCCAUAUUAGAGCAACUUGUACAUUUGACCUCUUGUUAUCAGCCAUGGUACUCUACUUCGUGAGCAAGAGAUAACUAUGAAAGCCGAAUUCAAAUACUGGCAACAUUUCCUAAAGGGGCUCAAUAUCUAUCAUUCAUCUUCUUUUCCAAACUACACAUCACUGUAUGACUCAACCAGUAGCAGUUAUAUUGCCCCUUGGUUUUUAUUCAGUUUAACUACUGUUUCCAGGGUAAAUGAGCUAAUAACCAUUUUUUAAAAAAAGCUGAAUUCUUUUUUCUUCAUCACUGGCAUAUCUGCCUAUUCUCCAGAAUUAUUAUGACUAUUCAGCUCACUUUAACAGUUGAACUUCAAGAGACAAUCUUUGAACACCCCUUCUCAUGUGAUUUAAAAUGAAACCAUUUGGAAAAGUUUUUUCUAGCCAGUAAUAGAUUUUUUUUUUAAUUGCUCUCCCUUGUGCCGAGAGAUGUUCUUUUAAGAUGAAUCUUUUGAGGUCUGAUACCACCAAAUAUAGGUGGUAGGGAGAGUUGGAGGCUGGCCCUUUGAGCAGGCCAUUAGCUUACUUGCUGGGCAUUUCCGAUAGCUUAUUGCCUACCUUUUUGCUGGAAACAGACGGAUUUGAAAAACAAAAUCUGUGAAGACUGCCGCUAAGGAUUUUAUCGGUAGACUUAAGAGCUUUUGUCCUUGUGGAUAUUUUAGUGGAACCACAUCAGUCUCAAUACUGUCAUUUUACACUGACUCAGAGCAGCUGACUUCAUUCCUUGCCAUGAUAUAUAUUUAAGGGAGGCAUUGUAACAGACAUAAAGACAACUUAUCUGUUUCAGCAGGAAGGAUUCAGUUUAUGAACUCUCAGACCAGAUCAUGUUGAACAAGGAGACUUUGAUGUGUGUCAUGAGAAAACUCAUUCUUUACUUCCCAGUCAAUUUAAAGGCCAGCUAUCCUGAGCUACUCGAAUGAAUGCACUGGUUAAACAUUGGAAAUAGUUUGUUUAUAUCCUUGUUUCUCUCUAGGCCAAUUGUGAUUACAUGACUCCACUCUACAUCUCGUCAAACAAGGCCUAGGUCUGGUUGCUGUAGACUGCUCACCCUCAACAAAUAAAAAUAAAAUCUGGAUGACUAGCCUCCUUGUAUAUACAACUAUUAUUUGUUAAGAAGAAAUUAUCUCCAAUUUUCUACGACCUUCAAAUUGUCAGCUCUUUUCUUCGUCUCUGAUUUUUCCUGUACUUUACAGAAAAAGACAUUGGUCUAUACUGCCAUUCCCUGUAAUCCUGCCAUACUCAGUCAAAAGGAAUGACUUAAGAUGAAGAUGAUCAUCUGCUCGAGUCUAAAAUAAACAUUGUAUAUAAGAAUUGGUGAUUUGAAAAGCAAAAAACCUAAAACUUAAACCUAGGAGUCUGUCUACUGUCUCCAUGUCUCCAUGCCUCAGAUCUCAUCUAAAUCUUUGAACAGCACCAUUCAACCAAUCUGAGGCCUUGACUUGCUUGUAAGAUGGUUCUCAGAGAUCGGCUGAGUUAAAAAAGAUGACGACUUGAUUACCAAAGAAAGUAGGGCCAACUUUGACAAACCUGGCUCUGCUGACCCUGUCACUCCCAGAUGUAGCAUAGA